rnacentral:tRNA from 1 species
UCCCUGGUGGCCAAGUGGCUAAGACUCAGCACUCCCAAUGUAGAGAAGCCUGGGUUCGAUCCCUGGUCAGGGAA